AGAGUUUGAUCCUGGCUCAGGAUGAACGCUGGCGGCGUGCCUAAUACAUGCAAGUCGAGCGAACGGACGAGAAGCUUGCUUCUCUGAUGUUAGCGGCGGACGGGUGAGUAACACGUGGAUAACCUACCUAUAAGACUGGGAUAACUUCGGGAAACCGGAGCUAAUACCGGAUAAUAUUUUGAACCGCAUGGUUCAAAAGUGAAAGACGGUCUUGCUGUCACUUAUAGAUGGAUCCGCGCUGCAUUAGCUAGUUGGUAAGGUAACGGCUUACCAAGGCAACGAUGCAUAGCCGACCUGAGAGGGUGAUCGGCCACACUGGAACUGAGACACGGUCCAGACUCCUACGGGAGGCAGCAGUAGGGAAUCUUCCGCAAUGGGCGAAAGCCUGACGGAGCAACGCCGCGUGAGUGAUGAAGGUCUUCGGAUCGUAAAACUCUGUUAUUAGGGAAGAACAUAUGUGUAAGUAACUGUGCACAUCUUGACGGUACCUAAUCAGAAAGCCACGGCUAACUACGUGCCAGCAGCCGCGGUAAUACGUAGGUGGCAAGCGUUAUCCGGAAUUAUUGGGCGUAAAGCGCGCGUAGGCGGUUUUUUAAGUCUGAUGUGAAAGCCCACGGCUCAACCGUGGAGGGUCAUUGGAAACUGGAAAACUUGAGUGCAGAAGAGGAAAGUGGAAUUCCAUGUGUAGCGGUGAAAUGCGCAGAGAUAUGGAGGAACACCAGUGGCGAAGGCGACUUUCUGGUCUGUAACUGACGCUGAUGUGCGAAAGCGUGGGGAUCAAACAGGAUUAGAUACCCUGGUAGUCCACGCCGUAAACGAUGAGUGCUAAGUGUUAGGGGGUUUCCGCCCCUUAGUGCUGCAGCUAACGCAUUAAGCACUCCGCCUGGGGAGUACGACCGCAAGGUUGAAACUCAAAGGAAUUGACGGGGACCCGCACAAGCGGUGGAGCAUGUGGUUUAAUUCGAAGCAACGCGAAGAACCUUACCAAAUCUUGACAUCCUUUGACAACUCUAGAGAUAGAGCCUUCCCCUUCGGGGGACAAAGUGACAGGUGGUGCAUGGUUGUCGUCAGCUCGUGUCGUGAGAUGUUGGGUUAAGUCCCGCAACGAGCGCAACCCUUAAGCUUAGUUGCCAUCAUUAAGUUGGGCACUCUAAGUUGACUGCCGGUGACAAACCGGAGGAAGGUGGGGAUGACGUCAAAUCAUCAUGCCCCUUAUGAUUUGGGCUACACACGUGCUACAAUGGACAAUACAAAGGGCAGCGAAACCGCGAGGUCAAGCAAAUCCCAUAAAGUUGUUCUCAGUUCGGAUUGUAGUCUGCAACUCGACUACAUGAAGCUGGAAUCGCUAGUAAUCGUAGAUCAGCAUGCUACGGUGAAUACGUUCCCGGAUCUUGUACACACCGCCCGUCACACCACGAGAGUUUGUAACACCCGAAGCCGGUGGAGUAACCUUUUAGGAGCUAGCCGUCGAAGGUGGGACAAAUGAUUGGGGUGAAGUCGUAACAAGGUAGCCGUAUCGGAAGGUGCGGCUGGAUCACCU
rnacentral:rRNA from 4 species